rnacentral:lncRNA from 1 species
UUGGUUUCAUUCCAUUCAGUGGUUCUCUAAAAGAUGUCAUUUGUAUGCAUUUCCCAUAGGGUCCUAUGUUAAACUAAGUCCCCCACUGGCGGCCAUCUUGGAUGAUGGAUCAGCUACAAAGUAACAACACUUGGUCAGCACCUCAUAAGGAACAUUUAAGCCAUGUUUGGUUUCAUUCCAUUCAGUGGUUCUCUAAAAGAUGUCAUUUGUAUGCAUUCCCCAUAGGGUCCUAUGUUAAACUAAUUCCCCCCACUGGCGGCCAUCUUGGAUGAUGGAUCAGCUACAAAGUAACAACACUUGGUCAGCACCUCAUAAGGAACAUUUAAGCCAUGUUUGGUUUCAUUCCAUUCAGUGGUUCUUUAAAAGAUGUCAUUUGUAUGCAUUCCCCAUAGGGUCCUAUGUUAAACUAAGUCCCCCCGCUGGCGGCCAUCUUGGAAGAUGGAUCAGCUACAAAGUAACAACACUUGGUCAGCACCUCAUAAGGAACAUUUCAGCCAUAUUUGGUUUCAUUCCAUUCAGUGGUUCUCUAAAAGAUGUCAUUUGUAUGCAUUUCCCAUAGGGUCCUAUGUUAAACUAAGUCCCCUCGCUGGCGGCCAUCUUGGAUGAUGGAUCAGCUACAAAGUAACAACACUUGGUCAGCACCUCAUAAGGAACAUUCAUGCCAUGUUUGGUUUCAUUCCAUUCAGUGGUUCUCUAAAAGAUGUCAUUUGUAUGCAUUUCCCUUAGGGU